rnacentral:sRNA from 1 species
CGCUCAAAGCGAUUGAAUUUUUAUGAUAACUGGCUGAAGUUAACUUCUGGGAUGCUAGAGUUUGCUAAUCUUGUAAGAACACACCUUUGCCAUUACUAAUCAGUAAUCAGUAACUAAGUUGCUCGGACCAACAAAAAUGAGGAUAAUUUAACUAACGGCUACUGUGUUCCGUAACUUCCCUGCUGUCCAAUGCAAUUACUUAAGGCGAUCCAUAAGCUAUGCUUAAAGUUAUGGCAAGUGGGCAAACUUUCGACCAGACGCAAGAUUGAAGCUUAUGAAGCCAUAGAACACACACGCACACACAGACACGUGCGGGUCCAUCAGUUAACCGUAGUGUGUGUGUGUGUGUGUGUGCGCCAGCAAAUGAGGGGGCGGAACGGUGGCAGGCGUGGCCGAGGGGCGGCGUUGGGAGGCAGCCACUCAACUCAGACGCCAGCAACGCGUAGCAACGGUCACAUCCUGCUGGCGAGCUGUCGUUGGAGAGUUGGGCUGGAGAGCCGCCACAGCGAAAUGGUAUUUUCCAUUUAAUUUUUGCACACUCGCACACACGCACAAAAGCUCGCACACGCGGGCCAUAUGUACAUGGGUACAGUGGAGCGUCGAUAAGUGCAAUUAAGCAAAUUUCGAAUGGCAUACAUACAAAUAUGGUCUACAUUAAUAAAGGAAAUCUAAUCUUAGUGAGUUACUACUGUAUGUGGCAGCACACGCACAAGGCGGAGCUGGAGUGUGAGCAAAAAAAGAGGAAGAGGAGCAUCAGAGCAGCCAGAGGUGGCAGCAACAACAACAACAACAACAACGGCAGCAGCAGCAACAGCAGAGGCCCAAGCAUUAUUGUCGUCGCGAAACGAAACGUGAGCGUAACGAAUGCGCAAGCAGAAAUCCAGCAACAAAGCAAAUGCAGGCCAAAAAGGCGGUGGAAGCAGGAGGGGUGGUGCCAGGGGGGGCAGUUAAUGGCGCACAGGCAAAGAGCAACAGCUGCUAACGAUGUUGACGCGUCGAUGACGGGGCCGCAACCAAAUGGGCAGACAGAGCUGCGAAAGAGAGGACAAAGAGGACGAUGAGCAGGAGGCGAAGGCGGUGAACGGCGGAGAGCACAAGAGCUUGGCUCUUUUAUGGCUAAAAACGCUAAUGUGACCGAUGGACCUGUAUGGGGGAGGGGAAGGGGGAGGGGAAGGGAGCAUGACGGAGCGCAAAGCACACGCAAAAAGCCCAGGCAGCAACAAAGCAACCCAAGCACUCGGCAGCUAGAAGAAGACACCCUCAAAAGAUGGAACACCGCAGCGGCCAAUAUGGCGACCCUUGCCAUUUCCCAUUCCACUUUCCCUGCCCACCAGCCCCCACCCCCUCCUUACAGCACCCUCCUUACUUCGCACCCACUCACACUCACACUACCGAAAUUAACGCAAAACAAAUGAAGCACACGCAUGUGCCGCCGCCGCAGUCGCAGUCGCAGUCGACGUUGGCAGCGAACUCAAGCGCAUCGCAACAACUACAGACACAACAAAUGAGCAGAAUUGCAUUUUGUGCAUUUCGACCCCCAAAAAGUGUAAGCUGGACGCAAAAAUGCAAAUGACAGGCGGCAGACAGUAAUCCCCCAUGGAUGAACGGGCUAGCGGGGCGGGGGCGGGGGCGGGUGAUGGUGCGUUGCGAGAGGGAGAUGGACUGACCGCCCAUUCCACUCAUCGAAGUUGCUUGGACCUAUCCACACCACUCAAAAUCUGGAGUUGGUUCGGACAUGGCCACAGGUGGCGCCGGCAUGGUCGACGAGAUCACCGAGGUGGUGGAGCUGUCCCUGGAGGAGGCCAAGCGGAUGACCCAACAGGGAGCCGUCAACAAUAUCACAGUUUAAUGUGAUAUGAUUUUGACUUAUGCUUGAUAUUUAAAUCAUUAAACAUAUUAUAAAAUCGCUUUCAAUUUCGUGCAGGUCAACGCUCUCCACGCACACGCACACACACGCAGGCAAACAAACGCAUCGUAAUUGCAUUGGACCGUUCAAUAAAUAAAUUGGCAAGUGUUGUUGUUACUGUUGCUACCAAUUUGCUGGAAGGGAGAGCCAGAUCCUAGUUUAGCCGUCAUUGAGUUCGGAUCGAUCGGUUACAAUAAUUUAAGGUGCAGCUGUGUGAAAAGUUUCCCUUUUCCGCAAUCAAAGAAAUUUAAUCACUAACAAAGGCAAAAAAAGAGCAAAAGAAACAAGCGAGCAAGGCAGAGCAAGUAAAACGGACAGAAAAAACUUUCAUUUUCAAUGUCAAGCAACAAUAACAACAACAAAAAAAGUCUGCCGGUUGGGGGAGGCGAUUUUGUGAUGAGAGAGCCAAAAACAGAGAGCGGAAUUAAGAAAGAGAAAGGAAGAAGGUAAGAGAGAUCUAACUUCGUUAUUCAUUCUACAAGAGCAUGAGCAUUGGUAGCAAUUGCUUGCUAUCACUGCUGCCCGAUUAAAAAUCGUUAAUUUCUUUUUGAUUUCCGACUAAACUUGUUUAAAAACAAAAAUUUAUUGUCAAAGUCCAAGAUUCAAAAACACGUGCAAUUGUUGCUGGUUAGCAGAGAGCGAGAGAAAGAGACCGCAUGAAAAACAGCUGACGACUGCCUUUCUAGUUAUCUCUGUUACACCUUCUCUAAUUUAUUUACACUUGGAAAAACAGUUUUACCAUAUGCUUUUAGAUGAGAUUCUUUUUACAAGCAGCCCGUAUUAAAUCAAAUGAAACAAAUCGUAAAACUUAGUUUCACCUUACAUUUAUUAUUGAUUAAUUAUUAUUAUAUAUUAUUGUCUUUAUAGAUUUAGAAAGUUUUGCCAUAUCGUUUUUGAUUUUGGCGGGAGAGCGCUUUUUGCCCCUCUCGAUAACACUGCCACACCGCUCUCUUCCCUUUUCGUCUCGCUCACGCCAUGUGGUUACAACCAGACGCGUGGCCUUUGCAACAACAACAGUCUUACAACAAUAGAUGCACAUACUGACACUCGCCGCACACUCACACUCGCACAGAUGGGCAAAAUAUUGAAAAAUUGCCAAAAUAAGAGACCAGACAUUUUUCGAAUGUCGAAAACAAGAUAUACUAUACACACCAUAUAUCAUAUAAUGGGAAGAGCUCUUGAAAACUCACCAUGCUC